rnacentral:tRNA from 1 species
GGGGGUAUAGGCUCAACGGCAAACCGCGGGACUCCAAAUCCUGAUUUCCAGGUUCGAAUCCUGGUACCCCCG